GAUGAACGCUGGCGGCGUGCCUAAUACAUGCAAGUCGAGCGAACAGACGAGGAGCUUGCUCCUCUGACGUUAGCGGCGGACGGGUGAGUAACACGUGGAUAACCUACCUAUAAGACUGGGAUAACUUCGGGAAACCGGAGCUAAUACCGGAUAAUAUAUUGAACCGCAUGGUUCAAUAGUGAAAGACGGUUUUGCUGUCACUUAUAGAUGGAUCCGCGCCGCAUUAGCUAGUUGGUAAGGUAACAGCUUACCAAGGCAACGAUGCGUAGCCGACCUGAGAGGGUGGUAGGCCACACUGGAACUGAGACACGGUCCAGAGUCCUACGGGAGGCAGCAGUAGGGAACCUUACGCAAUGGGCGAAAGCCUGACGGAGCAACGCCGCGUGAGUGAUGAAGGUCUUCGGAUCGUAAAACUCUGUUAUUAGGGAAGAACAAAUGUGUAAGUAACUAUGCACGUCUUGACGGUAACUAAUCAGAAAGCAACGGCUAACUACGUG
rnacentral:rRNA from 1 species